rnacentral:rRNA from 1 species
AUACGGAGGGUGCGAGCGUUAAUCGGAAUUACUGGGCGUAAAGCGUACGUAGGCGGUUGGUUAAGUUAGAUGUGAAAGCCCCGGGCUUAACCUGGGAACUGCAUUUAAAACUGGCGAACUAGAGUUGAGUAGAGGGGAGUGGAAUUUCAGGUGUAGCGGUGAAAUGCGUAGAGGUCUGAAGGAACACCAGUGGCGAAGGCGACUCCCUGGACUCGAACUGACGCUGAGGUACGAAAGCGUGGGUAGCAAACGGGAUUAGAAACCCUUGUAGUCC